AAUUUAUUAGCUUAUAAUAGAGCAAUUUAUUGAAGAUAAAAAGGACUAAACAUCUUCAUCAUGAAAUA
rnacentral:tRNA from 1 species